UACAAACUUCCCUGGUCUGAGUGUGAGGAGGACACAGUUCCUUUCACUACUUGUAGGAAUGCUAUCCCAGGCCAGGGAGGAACUUAUUUUUCCCAACAGAAGAUUCUGGAUUUCUAUUUUUUUUCUUCCAGAUUAGAGUAUCAUAUAGAUUUUAGCACUGCUAUAAAAAAAAAAAGUAAAUGACAGGACCCGUGAGAUGCUACGUGGGUAAAGCAAGAAAUCCUAUUUGCAUUAAGCAAUUACUCCCAAUUCCUUCCCACUUCCAACCUCCUGGAGUCACCAAUCUGUUUCCUACAUAUGGAUUUACAUAUUUCAGAUGAGUCCUGUAUCCACGUGGCUUGGCUAAGUGCCCUGCCUGGUCCUGGGAGCCUACACUUGACGCUAUUUUCUGAACGGUCUCCUGGGCUCACCAGAGGGUAAGCGGGGCU